rnacentral:lncRNA from 1 species
CUUUCACAUACAAUGGGGAGUUUUCGAGCCAACAGAAAUAACACUUGGAGUAUGACAGCAGGUGUUUUUCCCUCCCUUUUACUAGGACCACACUUAUGCUCUGUCCAGUUGCCCUUUGGCUCUUAAGGAGGGGUACAUUAAGGCAAAGGACAAUGUAAGCAGACUGCAGAGGGAAAAGGCGAAUACAAGGAAGCGUGAAUUGAGGGCAAAGAGUUCCUUAAAGGAUGUGCUGAUGGAGCUGAGGGAGAAAAACUUGAUGACUGAAGAACUAAGUCAGAGGGUUGGAUUGUAUGCAGAUCUCCCACUGCACCUUUUCGAGAAAAAGGCCAGUGAAUACAGCAAAGAACAGAGGGAGUUUGCCAUCACAUUACACCUGCAUGGACCCAAGGCAUACCGCUACCUCAGAAGCACGCUGCAACUUCCUCUCCCUCAUCCACGCUCAUUGCAAAGUCAUACCGGACUAUCAAGAGUGGCAGUGGCAGGAUCGAGUGGAAGCACAUUGUUGAGCUCCACAAUGUGCAAAAAAAGGCAGGGCUGCAUGCCAACAAACUGACAGAUACUCAUGUCAGUUUCAACAACCAAAAAAUGAAGGUGUGUUUGUGUUUGUGUGUGUGUUGGGGGGGGGGGGGGGUUCAUAUACUGAGAUUGGUAACACUUUAGUUUGAUAGUCCACUGUUGACACUCAACAAGCCA